rnacentral:rRNA from 1 species
UACAGAGGGUGCGAGCGUUGUCCGGAAUCACUGGGCGUAAAGGGCGCGUAGGCGGCUCAGUAAGGUUGCGGUGAAAGCCCGGGGCUCAACCCCGGGUCGGCCGUGGCAACUGCUGGGCUAGAGCACUGUAGAGGCAGGUGGAAUUCCGGGUGUAGCGGUGGAAUGCGUAGAGAUCCGGAAGAACACCGGUGGCGAAGGCGGCCUGCUGGGCAGUAGCUGACGCUGAUGCGCGACAGCGUGGGG